rnacentral:tRNA from 1 species
GCCCGCCUAGCUCAAUCGGAUAGAGCGUCAGACUCUUACGAGUUGCGGGUGAACAGAUUCACUGCGAUCUGAAGGCUGCGAGUUCGACCCUCGCGGUGGGCU